UGUACCGCCACACACACACACACACACACACACACACACACAUUGCACAAGUGUUUGCAUUAUAGAUGUGCGGAGGGACAACAUACCUGGAGCUAAUCACCAGGAAAUGAAUUUCAGGCGAUGCAGGCGAGUGGCGAUUGAUUGUCUUCCACUCGCAUCGCUGUGAUGCCCACGGGGGGGGAGACGCGCAUCCGCGUUGGCGUGUGCAGCUUUGAGCUACACGGGAAGAACACGAGAGGAAACUAGCAGGAGCCAUUUGCAGGCGUUGGUCCCGCGUCGGAUGGCGGCGUUUCCUCCUGGGGAGAAGCGUGAUCGUGAUGAAAGCGUAACAACGCGACAGUCCUGGGAGCCGCCGCUUCACAAUAUUUUGCAGAUGCAGCUGGCUCCUUCAGACCAGCGGGUUUCCUGUGGGUCCUUUCCCUCAACCUGCUCCAUCCUGGUGACCUCCAUUACAGACGUGACCCCAGGCGGUGACCGGUAAUCGCCUUUAGAGACGCCCUCUGUGCUGGGGGUGGCUAUGUGGGACGUUAGGGGUCCAGCCUCGGUCUGUGGGUCUUCAGCGCUCCAGACGGGUUCUUCACGGCCGAGCUGUGCCCGGGGCGGCGCCGUCUCCCCGCCGGGCCCCAGCAGGGCAGAGGCAGGCGGCGUGCAAGCACCAGCAGCACAACAGCACUUUAUUUCUGUGUCUUAGUUAACAGUUAAAUCAGUCAGAUCCGAGCUUUCACAAUAAACCUUUCAGUAAAAUGCACAGUGAAUGAUGUUAUGCUGAAUGGAUUGCUUAACAAUUGUUGAAAGUAGCUGAAACAUUGAAAACACAGCUUGAAGUAGCUAAUGUAUUGAAUGCAUAGUUGAAUAUAUCUAACGAUCUGGUUUUUAAAUAGAGCUGAAUGUACAUGAAGGAAGCAAAAACGAUUUUAAUUUAAUUUAAUUUUUUAAUUUUAAUUAAAAUAAUGAUAAA